rnacentral:lncRNA from 1 species
AAAUCAAAUGGUAGCUCCCUUAUUAUCAUUUUUCGCUUCCAAGGUUUUUGGUCCGGCUGUUUUCGUCUCGAUAGUGACUAUUGGGAUAUAAAUAUCUUGCACACGGGAUUAAAAUUUGUUAUCCCAGGGUUGUCAAGGACAACAGCCAAUUAAAAGUCUUCGUGUCAACAUAAAUAUAUUCAAUAUUUAUCAAUUGACGAGAUUAAUACUUUAUUUUCUGGACCUAUUCAUAUUAUAUUGACCAAGGAUGAGGUCCACGGUUAAAUAUUAUUAACAGGUUCAUAUAUAACGUAUUGACUGAGUGAAAGUACUUAUUUUAUGUAUUAUUGAAAUGGUGUAAGAAAGAGAAAAAAAAUUAACCAAUCAUGGUGCUCAAAA